AUUCCAUCCGACGGCCCUAUUCUUUUUGUCUCUUUUAUUUUCUUCUUCCCUAUGCUUCCCUUUUUCUCUCUUCUUCCUUCGCUUUUCUUUCUGCUUCAUCUUCGCCUAAGAAUCCCUUUCUCCCUUCGUCUUCUAUUUCUUCUUUCGUCUUCUCUAAUGGCUCUACUUCCUCCUUUUCUUCUUCUCCAUCUCUCGAUUACACUUUACUUAGACAAUAUAUUGGGUCGGACCCUUCUCAAUUUAUUUUAGGUCCCUCGUUUAUAGAUGACCCU
rnacentral:lncRNA from 1 species